GAGGGCUUUCCAAGUCUCUCAUCUCUAGCCCAGCAGGUUCCUGGUCAAGGGCUGGUCCCUCAAAGAUGGACAGCCUCCCAUCAUGGACAAGAGCCCCCAAAGGGCUGCAGCCCCAGCGAAGCCUGACUGACAUCACCGAGCGUGACCCUGUGCCCAGGACAAGCACUUUGCCCCGGCGUUGUGCCUGAGUACUCAAAAUGGCCCUGACUUGACUCGGCAGCUUCUAACUUGGCAGGAGUUUGGAACCGGAUGAACAAGGCCUCU
rnacentral:lncRNA from 1 species